UACGUAGGGUCCGAGCGUUGUCCGGAAUUACUGGGCGUAAAGAGCUCGUAGGUGGUUUGUCGCGUUGUUCGUGAAAACUCACAGCUUAACUGUGGGCGUGCGGGCGAUACGGGCAGACUAGAGUACUGCAGGGGAGACUGGAAUUCCUGGUGUAGCGGUGGAAUGCGCAGAUAUCAGGAGGAACACCGGUGGUGAAGGCGGGUCUCUGGGCAGUAACUGACGCUGGAGGAGCGAAAGCGUGGGGAGCGAACAGG
rnacentral:rRNA from 1 species